AGGAAUUGACAGCGCGCGUCCGGAUCUUUGACUUGGUCUGGGGAUAGCAUAUGGGGUAGACUGUAAUAUAGCUGAACAGUGGUGCUCUGCAUUAGCUCUGGCUACCCCACAGGUUCUUUUUUUAUCUGAAAGACUGUAUGUUCCCCUGCCACCAAACAAACAGAAGCCAAUAAAUGUCAUAUUCAAGGCAUAUCAAAUUUGCUGAUCAUUCUCUAAAUGAGGUGGCAAUCUACUCUGUUACCUGUUCCAGAAACAAGUCAUUAAACAUAUCCAACAGUAAAUACUAAAUACACUCAAACUGGCCCAUCUUAUGAGAAGUACAUAAUCAGCAAGUAAAGAUGGGUUAAUGGGACCUCUUGAAUCUUGA